GAUGAACGCUGGCGGCGUGCCUAAUACAUGCAAGUCGAGCGAACGGACGAGAAGCUUGCUUCUCUGAUGUUAGCGGCGGACGGGUGAGUAACACGUGGAUAACCUACCUAUAAGACUGGGAUAACUUCGGGAAACCGGAGCUAAUACCGGAUAAUAUUUUGAACCGCAUGGUUCAAAAGUGAAAGACGGUCUUGCUGUCACUUAUAGAUGGAUCCGCGCUGCAUUAGCUAGUUAGUAAGGUAACGGCUUACCAAGGCAACGAUGCAUAGCCGACCUGAGAGGGUGAUCGGCCACACUGGAACUGAGACACGGUCCAGACUCCUACGGGAGGCAGCAGUAAGGAAUCUUCCGCAAUGGGCGAAAGCCUGACGGAGCAACGCCGCGUGGGUGAUGAAGGUCUUCGGAUCGUAAAACUCUGUUAUUAGGGAAGAACAUAUGUGUAAGUAACUGUGCACAUCUUGACGGUACCUAAUCAGAAAGCCACGGCUAACUACG
rnacentral:rRNA from 1 species